ACUCCUGCGGGAGGCAGCAGUGGGGAAUAUUGGACACUGGGCGCAAGCCUGAUCCAGCCAUGCCGCGUGAGUGAUGAAGGCCCUAGGGUUGUAAAGCUCUUUCACCGGUGAAGAUAAUGACGGUAACCGGAGAAGAAGCCCCGGCUAACUUCGUGCCAGCAGCCGCGGUAAUACGAAGGGGGCUAGCGUUGUUCGGAUUUACUGGGCGUAAAGCGCACGUAGGCGGACUAUUAAGUCAGGGGUGAAAUCCCGGGGCUCAACCCCGGAACUGCCUUUGAUACUGGUAGUCUUGAGUUCGAGAGAGGUGAGUGGAAUUCCGAGUGUAGAGGUGAAAUUCGUAGAUAUUCGGAGGAACACCAGUGGCGAAGGCGGCUCACUGGCUCGAUACUGACGCUGAGGUGCGAAAGCGUGGGGAGCAAACAGGAUUAGAAACCCUUGUAGUCCC
rnacentral:rRNA from 1 species